rnacentral:lncRNA from 1 species
UUUGUCGAAUUAGGGUUAGCCACCUAGAGCCUUCACUUUCAUUCUAUUCUCUUCUCAGUAUCUCAAAAAGCCGAAAAAUGCAAAGUUAGAUCUCCUGAGUGUCGAAUUCUUCCUUCUCUUCUCCUCUCUUCUUCUAUUUUCUUUUUCUCUUUCUUUUCUUCUCUAGCCGAAACAUUCCUACCAUUCUACUCAUCUCCUCUUUCAUUCCCAUUCUUUUCUAAACCUCUAUAGCUGAUUGCCAUAAAAGCCGA